AACGAACGCUGGCGGCAGGCUUAACACAUGCAAGUCGAACGCCCCGCACGGGGAGUGGCAGACGGGUGGGUAACGCGUGGGAACAUACCCUUUUCUACGGAAUAGCUCUGGGAAACUGGAAUUAAUACCGUAUACGACCUACGGGGGAAAGAUUUAUCGGGGAAGGAUUGGCCCGCGUUGGAUUAGCGUGUUGGUGGGGUAAAGGCCUACCAAGGCGACGAUCCAGAGCUGGUCUGAGAGGAGGAUCAGCCACAUUGGGACUGAGACCCGACCCAAACUCCUACGGGAGGCAGCGGAGGGUAAUAUUGGACAAGGGGCGCAAGCCUGAACCAGCCAUGGCGCGUGAGUGAUGAAGGCCUUAGGGUUGUAAAGCUCUUUCACCGAUGAAGAUAAUGACGGUAGUCGGAGAAGAAGCCCCGGCUAACUUCGUG
rnacentral:rRNA from 1 species